rnacentral:tRNA from 1 species
AGUAAAGUAAGCUAAAUAAACUCUUGGGCCCAUACCCCAAACAUGUUGGUUAAAACCCUUCCUUUACUG